rnacentral:rRNA from 1 species
UACGUAGGGUGCGAGCGUUGUCCGGAAUUAUUGGGCGUAAAGAGCUUGUAGGCGGUUUGUCGCGUCUGCCGUGAAAAUUCGAGGCUCAACCUCGAACUUGCGGUGGGUACGGGCAGACUAGAGUGUGGUAGGGGAGACCGGAAUUCCUGGUGUAGCGGUGAAAUGCGCAGAUAUCAGGAGGAACACCGAUGGCGAAGGCAGGUCUCUGGGCCACUACUGACGCUGAGGAGCGAAAGCAUGGGGAGCGAACAGG